UGCAUCUUCAGAAUUCACCUGGUGGC
rnacentral:piRNA from 1 species